AGCCCCUUCCAGGAGGGCUCACAAAGGGGCUUUGAGCCCGAGCUGGAGCCCUCCGAGGGCUCUGCUGCCUUCCAAGGAACCCCACAGGCCCUCAGAAAGGGGCUCCAAAAGCUUUAAAGGGUUUCUAAAGGGAGACAAGAGAACUCCUUUGUGAAGAUUUCCAGCCCCCACGGAGAACUGUAGUGGAGAGGGGAAAAAACAGGUUUUGUUUUACCAUAAUGUGGAGUUCAGCACGAGGUCAGAAAUGCAACACCAAAGAAGGAAAAAUAAAUACAUAAUGAAUGAAUAUGCUGUUAUAUUUAGAGAAAAACUCACAGCUUUUGCUUGAAAGAGUGAAAAAAACUUGCAAUUUUUGGUUUAUCUUGAGAGAUUUUUGGCUUUUGUGCCGUGAGUUCUCUGAGUCCAAGGAACAAUGCUAAGCAGAUUCUAGAAAAAUCAUCCUGGGCAAUUAAUAAACAAUAUGUUGACAAAACUGUGGUUUUAAUUCUGCAUCUCAGAAUGAAAUAAUAAUUAAAUACCUGCCAGCAGCAGGGGAAAGGAAGGGUAAGAAAAAGCAGUGUCUGGGAAGUGGGUGGUGGGAACUUUUGGCUUCUCCUCGGGGGAAAAUGGGGCUUGGCAGGAAUGGGGGCAAAUUUGGGCUGUGUGGGGAAAAAGAAGAGCUGCCUCUCCUCAGGGAUGGACUGGCUGUGCAGGAUCCAUCCCUCAGAGGCUGAGGGACAUAAAGUGACAUCAUUGGGUGACAUUAGAACCUCCUGCAGCCCCACUCGUUCCUUCUGUGCCUUCUUUUGUGCCCUGGGGGAGGAAACAAAGCGAGUUCGGGAGCCGGGGGUGAUCGUUCUGGUUAUUUCAGUGCACUGAAAUGAGGGGCUGUAAACACAAGCCCCACACAAAUCUGAUUUUGUUGUGUUUUUCCAGGAGCUGGGAGGAAUGAUGAUGCUGUGAGUAAGGUAUGUUUGAGUUCAUUAGUGCCCAGCUACUAACGAAGGCAGAGGGCAGAUGAACUUCCAUAUUUAAUUCAGAAAUAGUGGUCAGGGUGUGCAAAGAUUUUAAUCUGUGAAUUUAUUAUUUUAAGUAUAGCUGGUUGUGUCUCUGUGCUGGUUUUGUUUGUUUCUGUGGAGGUUUUUUUUUGUUGUUGUUGUUUUGUUUUUGGUUUUUUGUUGUUUUUUUUUUGACUGAAUUUUUUGUCCAGAGCUCAAAAUUGAGUCGUGCCCCAGGGAAGAACCUGCCAGCAGCCCUGACUCCAUGGCUGGUGGAGUUGGGGAAAUUGUGAUCACAGCUUCCAAGGCAAAACUCAUCCCUCAAACCCUUCUACAGAAUCAAAGCAAGAUCAUUUUCCUCCUGGAAGGACUGAGGUUUCUUUUGCACAUUUUUUACUGCAUAUAUAGAUAUUUAUAUAUUCACACACACAUCCUGGCUCUCUCUGUCUAGAAAAAUCACCCUGUAAUUUUACAAUCAGCAGAUACAUUUAACACCAACAAACCUCACAGAAUUUGACACUUCACUAGAAAAAGCCUAAAUUGCCUUGAAGUGGAUUUGAUGAGGAAUCCUCUCGAGCUGGGUGACCAUAAAAUUGGAAGAUGUAUCUUUAACUCGCAGAAGUGAAUCCACGUUUUCCUCUCUUCCUCUCAGGUUUCCGACUGUUCUGUAUCUCCUGGAAUUGCUCUCUAAUGAGACCUUAAUUGGCUGCUAAUUCUUUUGUCUGCAGCACGGAUUGGUCUCUUGGGAAGGCUGCGCGCACCGUCUGAAGAUGUGCAGUGAUUUUUGUUUGCAGCAGGCGAUGAAGUGAAACGCUGUGAUUUAUUAAUUAGUCAGGAGCCAGCAGCAGCCUCUGCAGCUCAGGGGGCAGUUUUGGGGCUGGAUUAAUUCAGGCACAUCCCCUAAACCUUCCAGGGUAAGGUUCCAGAGACCUGGGGCUCUGAAAUAAAACUAUUCCUCGGUUUCUGCUUGGCAGGGCGCGGACUCCCGGGGAGGAGGAGAGGGUCUUCCAACCCUGACCGUCACCACCAUCCUGGAGGAUCCCUACGCGAUGGUGCGGGGAGCAGAGCUGGAGGGAUACUGCAUGGAGCUGCUGGCGGCGCUGGCGGCGAUGCUGCACUUCCAGUACCGCGUGCGGCUGGUGGCGGACGGGCAGUACGGGGCUGCGGGCGCCGGCGGCAACUGGAGCGGCAUGAUUGGCGAGAUCCUGCGAAGGGAAGCUGACAUUGCAGUGGCUCCACUGACCGUCACCUCGGCCAGGGAGGAGGUGGUGUCCUUCACCACGCCCUUCCUGCAGACGGGGAUUGGGAUCCUGCUCCGCAAGGACACGGCCUCCCAGGACUUGUCUUUCUUCCACUUCCUGUCUCCUUUCAGCAAGGAGACCUGGACAGCCCUUUUAUUUGCUUACCUGCUCACCUGCUUCUGCCUCUUCCUUGUUGCCAGGCUGAGCCCCUGUGAGUGGAAUGAGCCAAAGAAUGAAGAGAAUCACUUCACCCUGCUGAACAGCCUCUGGUUUGGAGCAGGAGCUCUGGCCCUGCAGGGCGCCACCCCCCGGCCCCAGGCUCUCUCAGUGAGGGUCAUUGCUGUGGUCUGGUGGCUCUUCACGCUGGCCCUGCUGGCCGCCUACAUUGCCAACUUCACGGCCCUGCUGAGCUCCGGCAGCGAGCAGCUCCCCAUCCAGACCUUCGAGGACCUGGUCAAGCAGAGGAAUCUGGAGUUUGGGACACUGGAGGGCUCCUCAACCUUCUACUACUUCAAGAACUCCAAGAACCCCAUCCACCAGAUGAUCUACGAGUACAUGGAGAAGCGUCGGGAGCACGUUCUGGUCAAGACCUACCAGGAGGCCGUGCAGCGCGUGAUGGACUCCAACUACGCCUUCAUUGGCGAGUCCAUCUCGCAGGACCUGGCGGCCGCUCGCCACUGCAACCUCAUCAGGGCCCCCGAGGUCAUCGGGGCCCGCGGCUUCGGCAUCGCCACCGCCCAGGCCUCCCCCUGGACCAAGCCUCUGUCCAUCGCCGUGCUGAAGCUGCGCGAGGCGGGUGACCUGGACUACCUGCGGAACAAGUGGUGGGAGAGCAGCUGCCUGCGCCGGAGCGGGGAGCGCUGGGGGCCCCUGGAGCCGCCGGCGCUGGGGGGGCUCUUCCUCACCCUGGGCAUCGGCCUCGCCCUCGGCGUCCUCGCUGCCCUGGCCGAGCUCUCCAGCAGCAGCCGCCGCACGGCCGCGCACGCCAAGAAAUCUUGUUGCUCUGUUUUCACAGAAGAAAUCUGCACUCGUCUACGCAUAAAAGGAACUGCCAGACAAAGCCAGGAGACGUCAGGGAAGGCAAACGCUUAAGGAUUUUCUGCUGCAGGAAUGGGCCUGUGUUAGGGUUGUACCACGUCCUAGGAGCUGCAUCAGUGUAGGAAGAUGUUUUUCUGCUAGUCUAGAGUGUUAGUUUGCUAAUUACACACACGCACAGCACUUCUGCAGUGGUGGUGGAGCUGCAGACACAAGGAAAUGAGGUGGCUUGGAAGAAUUUAAAUUGAUAAGGGGUAGAGUGGAGCUGUGAGGAAUUGAUGAAGUGGAGCUGGGCUGGCCAGGAUGGUGGAUGCGUGUUUGGGUUUGAAGUUCACCCUGUAAGUUCAUGAAGGGCUGGAGGAGGAAGUGACUGGGGACAGGUUCAUGUGAAGCCUCUGCUACUAAUUCCUGUGUGAGGGAGUGGUGGAACAUUAAAGCUCUUGCCUGUCUGCUGUAAUCAGCAGCAGCUUAAGCAGUGCAGCCAUAAACAGCCUCCCCCUGUCCUGCCUGAGCAGGUGCUGGUCCCUGGGAAGGCAAUUCCUGAAUCAGGACUGACAGUGAACCCCAGACAGGCCCUCCCUGCACCCCAAACCUCAGAAAGGCCCCACUGGAGCUAAGAAAUGCCAGGCAGGGCUUGUCCUUUGUCCCUUCCCAUCACUGUUGGGUGACACAGAAUGUUUUGUUCUCGUUGCCCAAGAAUUGAGGAUUGACAGUGGAAAUCAGAGCAGGGAAGGAGUGUGGGGAUGAGUCAAGCACAGCCCCAGCUCCCCUGCAAGGGGAGACGUGAGGGUGUUUUGCUUCACUCUCCUGCUCUCAAAGAAUGCUGAAGUUCAGGGGAACAGUUUUCUCAGCUGCAUGUUAAACACUUUCCUCAUUAAGCUGGUUUCCCUUUCAGAGCUGGGAUGACUGAAGCAUGUAAGUGUUAGGGCAAAUUGGUGGUGAAAUCACUCCCUUUAUGAACUGCACAGCUGAAGGAGAGAAAAAGCAAAUUGGGUUCCUUGGGAAUGGCUGUAAUUGCACUGCAGGAACAAAGACACCAAUCCUUGUCAAUCCCAGCAGGGAAAACUCAAGGCAAGAGAAACCAAGAGGGCUCAGGCUGGGCAGUUAUGGGUGAUCCUGAAUCCAGCACUGCACAUUCCCUGUGAGGGGAACUUGGUGAGACUCAGCUUCCAGGAAGGAAUUCAGCUCAUCUGUGAAGGAAUUCAGUGUAGCUGCAGGACUCCCUCCCCUGUCCCUCCUGCUAACGGGAACAAACAAGGGGUCAGGAAUUCCAGGUGCUGGGAAAGCAGGGCUGGGCCUUAACUCAGACUGCACCAGCCCUGGCUGUCACAGCCUGAGCAGCGUUUGUGGGGUGAGAAGGUGGAACAGCCCUUCCAUUAACUGAGC